GACGAACGCUGGCGGCGUGCUUAACACAUGCAAGUCGAACGGAAAGGCCCUGCUUUUGUGGGGUGCUCGAGUGGCGAACGGGUGAGUAACACGUGAGUAACCUGCCCUUGACUUUGGGAUAACUCCAGGAAACUGGGGCUAUUACCGGAUAGGAGCUCCUGCUGCAUGGUGGGGGUUGGAAAGUUUCGGCGGUUGGGGAUGGACUCGCGGCUUAUCAGCUUGUUGGUGGGGUAGUGGCUUACCAAGGCUUUGACGGAUAGCCGGCCUGAGAGGGUGACCGGCCACAUUGGGACUGAGAUACGGCCCAGACUCCAACGGGAGGCAGCGGUGGGGAAUAUUGCACAAUGGGCGGAAGCCUGAUGCAGCAACGCCGCGUGCGGGAUGACGGCCUUCGGGUUGUAAACCGCUUUCGCCUGUGACGAAGCGUGAGUGACGGUAAUGGGUAAAGAAGCACCGGCUAACUACGUG
rnacentral:rRNA from 1 species